GGUUGUGGCUCAGUGGUACAGCACUUGCCUGACACGUGCGAGCCCUAGGUUCGAUCCUCAGCACCA
rnacentral:tRNA from 1 species